rnacentral:rRNA from 1 species
CAGUAGCCGCGGGAAUACGGAGGGGGCUAGCGUUAUUCGGAAUUACUGGGCGUAAAGCGCACGUAGGCGGCUUCGCAAGUCAGAGGUGAAAGCCUGGGGCUCAACUCCAGAAUUGCCUUUGAGACUGCGUCGCUCGAAUCCGGGAGAGGUGAGUGGAAUUCCGAGUGUAGAGGUGAAAUUCGUAGAUAUUCGGAAGAACACCAGUGGCGAAGGCGGCUCACUGGACCGGCAUUGACGCUGAGGUGCGAAAGCGUGGGGAGCGAACAGGAUUAGAUACCCCCGUAGUCCCUGUCUCUUAUAC